rnacentral:lncRNA from 1 species
CGACAAGUAUGGUGAAUGCUCAAACUUUUAAAAAAAUUAUCAUGAUAAAGGACCCUUUGCCAUGAAUUCCCCUCCUUGCUUCAGAUACACUGAUCGCAUCAUUCUUGCCACUUUCUGAAGCAGUUCUGGAGUCCUCUUUUGUGAGUAUUUUUAGUUGCUCUGUUGUGGCUGCCUCGAUGUCCUGAAUUGAUUGAAAAUGUCUCCCUUUCGUGGUCAUUUUGACUUUGAGAAAGAGCCAGAAGUCACAUGGUGCAAAGCCGGUGAAUAAGGUGGAUGAGGAUGCAGCGUCAUGUUUUAAGGAGCUGCCUUUGUGCUGCAUGGCAGACAGCGGCUGCAUUCUCUGUAUUUUUGAUCACACCUCAUACAGACAGCUUCAGAAAGGGGCACGGAUGAUGGGAUGAGGGUCUUGAAAGUGAAGGGGUCUUUUGAGGGGAAUUGAUGGUAAUGUGUCUUUCACUAUAAUACUUUUAAAAUUCACUCACAUACCAUAAGUUCCGAUCAUGCUUUGUAUCAGUUAAACUGUGCUUUUUAGGUAUGGGGCUCCUGCCCCAAAUUCUGUGCACAUUUCUGAAGCUGAUGUUCAUAUAGUUAGGAGGUGGAGAGCUCUCAAGCCUACUUUGCAGUUCCACAAACCCACCCUCAGGCCCGCUUCUCUCCAGGGUCUUGUGUGAGGGACGUCCAAAGCUCUCCUGGAUGCUGGAGCUUCCCUUUGUCCCUUGUCUGGGACGACAUUAGAGCGGGGGGCAUUACAGUGGCGUAGAAAGAGUGUGCUGAUUUCUUUGCUCUAUAAAAUACUCCUUAUAAACCGUAAAGUGAAAUAUUUACAUUUUACAUCCCCAGAUGUGCUGGUGGGUAGAGUGAAGUGAGCUGGUAGAUUUCCAAAUCCACAAAGCUUGGGGGAAUCUGGUUUUGUUCCACCAGGUGCAAACUGCUCCUCAGGGUUCGGGGAGCGGCAUUUCAUGUCUGACUUCUUGGUGGGGGUGGCAGAGCCUCCCAGCGGGGGACAACUUGGACCCAGGCUCUGGGUGACAGUCACUCAGGGUCUUAGUACCUCGGACGGAGAAAAAGUUUAUAUGUAUAAAAUUAAUUUUUCUGUUUAUUUGGAAAGGAAUUUGGAAGGCACGUAACUUCUAAAAAUUUCCAUUUACAACUGGUUCAUUUUCUGAGCUGCUACGAAGACCGAGCAAACACCUUGUCAGUGUUUAAUCCCAAACUGAUAGCUAUAGCUUGGAAAGGGGAAAACAGGUCUGAUUUAAUAAGCCAAGAGAUAAGCCAAACACCCACAAAUGCUAAUUUACAGCUGCAAAGGCCCCUGCUUUAAAAUCAUCCUCAUGAAUCACAUGUUUCUGAAGAAGUAACUGUGCAUCUGAAAAAUUAUGUUCUUUGGUAAUGCCCCAGGCAGCAUGUUUUGGCCACCUCACCCCAGUAAGUUGUAAGUAACCCGCUCCUUUCUACUUUUAAUUUUUGAGAUUAGCUGCUUGCCACCAGCCCUGCUUUCCUGGCCACUGUCACCUGGCAGGGGUGUGUUGGGGCGGGGACUCCAGCUGCCUGUGUGGGCCUCCCUUCCGGUCCAGUGGUGCUGCUGCUCUGUCCCAGAGGCUCAGCGGGUCACCGUGUGGACAGGGACAGGGAGCUGCCCCUGCUCCACCCACGCAGUCUCUCCCUGUGGGGUUAGGCUAGGGGCAGGUGGCCGGAGGCCCCUCGUGCAGCCUCUUCCCUGCAUCUGUCUGGAGGAAGGGCACUGCAUAACUUGGGUCUGAAUCUUGUCCCCAGGACCACGGGGUUAAAGACUUGGUUGGUGCCUGGGGUGCCACCAGGAGGCAGAGCCUCAUGGAAGGAGGUUAGGUCAUCAGGGCCAUGUCCUUGAGGGGAUACGGGGCCCUAACCCUUCUCUCCUCUCUCCGUAUUCCGGCUGCCGGGAGGCGAGCAGCUCCCUGUACCACAGGCUCCAGCCGUGAUGUACUGCGCUGCCGCAGGACCAGAGCGCAGCGCCAGAGACCAGGACUGGAGCUCUGAAACCGAGAGCCAAAAUAAACCCUUCCUCCUCAUCUUGUGCUUGUCUCAGCCCAGGCUGGCCUCAAACCCACGGUGAUCCUCCCACCUCAGCCUCCAGAAUGCUGGUUAUGGGUGUGUGCCACUACACCCAGUGAGAUUUCUUCAUAGAAGAACACUGCUGGCCUUGAACUCAUUAUGUAGCCCACAUGGCCUCAAACUCAUGGAAAUCCUGCUGCCUCAGCCUUCCGAGUGCUGAUAGUACAGUGCUGGAGGCUGGAAGUUCAAGAUCAAGGUGCAAGUAGGACCAGGUUCCUCUGAGUCCUGGCUUCUUGGGUUGCAGGUGGUCACCUUCCUGCUGCCUGUAUUGUUUAAAGAAUGAAGCAACAACUCCACUAUGCAGGAAGGUGCUUUGGCAUUGGGUUCUUUGUGGGCAGAGUGGCCUCUCUCUUUUCUAUCAGGUAGAUGGUCCUGUCACCCACACUGGCUUCUUACUCUGUUGUGACCCUUUUUCAAUUUCAACACAGAAGACUUCCCCAUCCUUGAUUCCCAGGGCCCGGCACCGUGUGACUUCUGGCUCUUCCCCGAAGCAGGAUGACAAUGCAAGGUAAACAUUCUGAAUCAACUCAGGACAUCAAGGCAGCUAUAACAACACAACUCAAGACAUCCAUGAAAGAGGACUCCAGAACUGCUUCAGAAAGUGGUUCUAAGGAAUGAAAAACACUAACCCUGCAAUCCUUAUCACCAAGAACUGUGCACCCUAGUGACAUGUAAAGUUUCCUUCAACACUUUUAGGGUCAAGGUUCUAGCAAACAAAAAGGACAAAGAAAGAAAAGUAGAGCAAAAGAUGUUGUUUCUGUUGCUAAGAUUUCAGGAGAAGGGAUCAAACUGAGGACCUUGUGCUCGCGAGGAUCACACUGAACAGAGCAAGGAGCCCCCCGAAGUGCCUGCCCACUGCUUGUGCCCACCUCUGCCAGUCCAUCUUGGUCCCACUGAGGCUCCAGUGCACUUCAUCCUCAUGGGAGAGCCAACUACUCCUGGUCUAGGGUGUGGAUGUUUGAGCAGACCAUCUUCCUUAGAAGCUCAGAGUGUGGUGGGGAAGUUCAUGGUUAUAGCAGGGUAGAAGUUGAAAGAGCCUCUGAGGCUGGCUUUGGAAAGGGAAGAUGAGCUGUGAAAUAGUCUACAAGAAUGGCCAUGGUGGCCAGAAUGAGAAGUAUUGUCAGAGUCACGUGGGACUUUGAACAUUACCGUGUGACACAUGGAACUACUGAGCACUUGCUAAGGACACCCGGUUUACCUUCUCCAUCUCGUUUAACUCUUUCAAGAAAUGAGAGAGACACACGUGGGACCACUACAUGCCUCUGCUCAAGAAUUGUGCAUUGCAACUGGGGAUGCCAGAGCUUUCCCGGUGAAAACAUCACCAUUUAAAAAUGCCAUCAUCCAAAUGUAUUUCCUGCUCAUUGGGGCCAAGCAAGAACAAUUAUGUGGUUCUACAGCACCAUGGGAACCCAACUCUCGCUGUGUUUCUGGCCAGCAUGAACAAGCUCUAUGGCCUUUCCUGUCUCCAAAAAACAAAAGCCUACAUGCAAGAAUUCUUUUGUUUGGAGACAGGAUCUUGCUCUGUAGCUCAGUCUGGCCACAAACUCGUGGCAAUCCUCCUGCCUCAGCCUCACAAGUGCUGGGAUUACAGGCCUGUGCCACCAGCCUGGCUUCGUGCAAGAAUUCUUAUUCAUAAGCUACAGUUUAUAAAGUUUUAUCAAGUGCCAACAUUAAAACCCAAUUUACUUAUUUCCCUUCAA